rnacentral:rRNA from 1 species
UGACCUCGGAUCAGGUAGGGAUACCCGCUGAACUUAAGCAUAUCAAUAAGCGGAGGAAAAGAAACCAACCGGGAUUGCCUCAGUAACGGCGAGUGAAGCGGCAAGAGCUCAAAUUUGAAAGCUGGCUCCUUCGGAGUCCGCAUUGUAAUUUGCAGAGGAUGCUUUGGGUGCGGCCCCCGUCUAAGUGCCCUGGAACGGGCCGUCAGAGAGGGUGAGAAUCCCGUCUUGGGCGGGGUGUCCGUGCCCGUGUAAAGCUCCUUCGACGAGUCGAGUUGUUUGGGAAUGCAGCUCUAAAUGGGUGGUAAAUUUCAUCUAAAGCUAAAUACUGGCCGGAGACCGAUAGCGCACAAGUAGAGUGAUCGAAAGAUGAAAAGCACUUUGAAAAGAGAGUUAAACAGCACGUGAAAUUGUUGAAAGGGAAGCGCUUGCGACCAGACUCGCCCGCGGGGUUCAGCCGGCAUUCGUGCCGGUGUACUUCCCCGUGGGCGGGCCAGCGUCGGUUUGGGCGGCCGGUCAAAGGCCCCUGGAAUGUAGUACCCUCCGGGGUACCUUAUAGCCAGGGGUGCAAUGCGGCCAGCCUGGACCGAGGAACGCGCUUCGGCACGGACGCUGGCAUAAUGGUCGUAAACGACCCGUCUUGAAACACGGACCAAGGAGUCUAACAUCUACGCGAGUGUUCGGGUGUCAAACCCGUGCGCGCAGUGAAAGCGAACGGAGGUGGGAGCCCCCUCGCGGGGCGCACCAUCGACCGAUCCUGAUGUCUUCGGAUGGAUUUGAGUAAGAGCGUAAAUGUGGGGACCCGAAAGAUGGUGAACUAUGCCUGAAUAGGGCGAAGCCAGAGGAAACUCUGGUGGAGGCUCGCAGCGGUUCUGACGUGCAAAUCGAUCGUCAAAUUUGGGUAUAGGGGCGAAAGACUAAUCGAACCAUCUAGUAGCUGGUUCCUGCCGAAGUUUCCCUCAGGAUAGCAGUAACGCAAAAUCAGUUUUAUGAGGUAAAGCGAAUGAUUAGAGGCAUUGGGGUUGAAACAACCUUAACCUAUUCUCAAACUUUAAAUAUGUAAGAAGCCCUUGUUGCUUAGUUGAACGUGGGCAUUAGAAUGGAGCGUUACUAGUGGGCCAUUUUUGGUAAGCAGAACUGGCGAUGCGGGAUGAACCGAACGCGAGGUUAAGGUGCCGGAAUGCACGCUCAUCAGACACCACAAAAGGUGUUAGUUCAUCUAGACAGCCCGACGGUGGCCAUGGAAGUCGGAAUCCGCUAAGGAGUGUGUAACAACUCACGGGCCGAAUGAACUAGCCCUGAAAAUGGAUGGCGCUCAAGCGUGCUACCCAUACCUCGCCGUCGGGGUAGAAACGAUGCCCCGACGAGUAGGCAGGCGUGGGGGUCCGUGACGAAGCCUUGGGAGUGAUCCCGGGUCGAACGGCCCCUAGUGCAGAUCUUGGUGGUAGUAGCAAAUACUCAAAUGAGAACUUUGAGGACUGAAGUGGGGAAAGGUUCCAUGUGAACAGCAGUUGGACAUGGGUUAGUCGAUCCUAAGGCAUAGGGAAGUUCCGUUUGAAAGGCGCCCUCGUGCGCCGUGUGCCGAAAGGGAAGCCGGUUAAUAUUCCGGCACCUGGAUGUGGAUUCUCCACGGCAACGUAACUGAACGCGGAGACAUCGGCGGGGGUCCUGGGAAGAGUUCUCUUUUCUUCUUGACGGCCUAUCACCCUGAAAUCGGUUUGUCCGGAGCUAGGGUUCCACGGCCGGCAGAGCCCUGCACCUUUGCAGGGUCCGGUGCGCCCCCGACGAUCCUUGAAAAUCCGCGGGAAGGAAUAGUUUUCACGCCAGGUCGUACUCAUAACCGCAGCAGGUCUCCAAGGUGAACAGCCUCUAGUUGAUAGAACAAUGUAGAUAAGGGAAGUCGGCAAAAUGGAUCCGUAACUUCGGGAUAAGGAUUGGCUCUAAG